rnacentral:sRNA from 1 species
GAGCAUCCUCAGAUUUUUGGUAUCUGCAAGGGUUCUGAAACCCAUCCCCCACAGAUAUUGAGGGAUGAGUGUACACCCUUGUGAUAGACUGACUAGUGAGCUAAUUGCAACUUCUUUGCCUCCUCCAAAUCCAACUUAAUUGUUUUCUUAUCUGGUGGCUUCCAACCUCAAAAAGGCUUUUAUCCUUUUCUAAAGAAGUUAAUUUAAAUUAAGUUUAGUAAGAAUUUGAGUUUGUUUUCAAGUGUAUGGUGCAGUGGCAGGUAUCUGAGCCCUCAGUUAAAGUUUUACCUAUUUAACCCAGCAACUCUUUUAUAGUUAUGGACAAAUUAUUUCCAUCUCCAGCCUCUGUUCUUAUGUAAAAUGACCCCUUGCUCUGUGAAACCUCCAGUUAAUUACCGUUUCGUAUUAGCCCACUUAAUAAAGAGAAUUCAAUCAUUUUAAAA